rnacentral:rRNA from 1 species
AUGAACGCUGGCGGCGUGCCUAAUACAUGCAAGUCGAGCGAACGGACGAGAAGCUUGCUUCUCUGAUGUUAGCGGCGGACGGGUGAGUAACACGUGGAUAACCUACCUAUAAGACUGGGAUAACUUCGGGAAACCGGAGCUAAUACCGGAUAAUAUUUUGAACCGCAUGGUUCAAAAGUGAAAGACGGUCUUGCUGUCACUUAUAGAUGGAUCCGCGCUGCAUUAGCUAGUUGGUAAGGUAACGGCUUACCAAGGCAACGAUGCAUAGCCGACCUGAGAGGGGGAAGGGCAACACGGGAAUGGAGAAAGGGCCCAGAACACUAGGGGGGGCAGGAGGAGGAAAACUCACAAAAGGGGGGAAAGCCGGAGGGGGAAAGGCGGGGGGGGGGAUGAAGGUUUUGGGAUCGAAAAACUCUGUUAUGAGGAAAAAAAAAAGGGGAAAGGAACUGGGAAAAUUUGGAGGGUACCAAAUAAGAAAGCCACGGAUAACUACGU